GACGAACGCUGGCGGCGUGCUUAACACAUGCAAGUCGAACGGAAAGGCCCUGCUUUUGUGGGGUUCUCGAGUGGCGAACGGGUGAGUAACACGUGAGUAACCUGCCCUUGACUUUGGGAUAACUCCUGGAAACUGGGGCUAAUACCCGAUAGAAGCUCCUGCUCCAUGUUGGUGGUUGGAAAAUUUCGGCGGUUGGGGAUGGACUCGCGGCUUAUCAGCUUGUUGGUGGGGUAGUUGCUUACCAAGGCUUUGACGGGUAGCCUGCCUGAGAGGGGGAACGGCGACAUGGGGACUGAGAUAGGGACCAGAAUCGUACGGGAGGCAGCAGUGGGGAACAUUGCACAAUGGGCGGAAGCGUGAGGCAGCAACGCCGGGUGCGGGAUGCCGGCUUUCGGGUUGUAAACCGAUUUCGCCUGUGACGAAGAGUGAGUGACGGUAAUGGGUAAAGAAGCACCGGCUAACUACGUG
rnacentral:rRNA from 1 species